rnacentral:rRNA from 1 species
UACAGAGGGUGCAAGCGUUAAUCGGAAUUACUGGGCGUAAAGGGUGCGUAGGUUGUUAUAUAAGUUAGAUGUGAAAUCCACGGGCUCAACCUGUGGACUGCGUUUAAUACUGUAUAGCUAGAGUAUUGUAGAGGUAAGUGGAAUUUCCGGUGUAGCGGUGAAAUGCGUAGAUAUCGGAAGGAACACCAGUGGCGAAGGCGGCUUACUGGACAAAUACUGACACUGAGGCACGAAAGCGUGGGGAGCAAACAGGAUUAGAUACCCUGGUAGUCCACGCCGUAAACGAUGAUAACUUGCUGUUAGUUUUCUAAGGAAGAUUAGUAGCGAAGCAAACGCGAUAAGUUAUCCGCCUGGGGAGUACGGUCGCAAGAUUAAA